UGUCGGGCCGCCACCAAACCGGACUUCGCACAAUCAAGUCGCGACGCGACCCAACUCGCGACGUUUUUUUAUCAUGUCAAAAGUAGUGCGCAUCCUUCCCGUUGUUGUCAGCAACACAUCGCACUAGAUGCGAAACAGUUGCGACACUUGUGGACCAAGAAAAUUGCAAUUUUUGUUUGAAUGUCGGUCUUGAUUCCAACCGGAUAGACAAUACUCAGGCGUGUCAAUUUUUUGAGUGUGCAUAUAGUGUCUUACCCAAGUAACCACUAAGCCGUAAAAAUAGACCAUUCCCGUCUGACCUUACCCCCCUUUUUUAUAUUUUUCUCAGAAAGACAAUUGUUUUUAAUGAUAAUUGUCGCUCUCAGAUUUUUUUUUCAUGCCCUCCUUUUUUUCAUACAAAUUUUCAAAAUCUGAGAAUCUCACCACUUUUUCCUCAUGCGAAGUAGUUUUUAGUAACCCUAUACUGCGGUGAUUUUUUUUUCACCUCUCAGAAAAUGAAGACCAACUGGGAGCCCUAUUCAAUCAUGUUUGUUUACGUUUUAAAAUGUCAAACUGUUUCCAGAAAGGCCAACGGGUACGGGAGCAACAGGAUCCAAAUAUCUACGGCGAGCACGUCCUGGAUUUCUCAAGAUCCGACCGGUUUGGACUUUAUUGCGGCGGCGCGGAUCGGUACUGAUUUCAACGUUCUAAUGCCUCAUGCGAGUGCCGGAGACAAGGAGCAGGAGCAGCUGGAAUUACGUGGUUUGCCUCGAACGGCAACAUUCUGGAGGAAAAUGAGACUUUUAUUUUUGUUGUUUCCGGACCACUUCCACAUUCGUCCGGAAGUCUUUCAGCAGGAUCUCCUGCUUCUGGUACUCGGAUCCCUUUAGCAAAAAUGCAAAAAUCCCCUAAGGAAUUCCGCAAACAAGAGUUCCCCAGCGGUGAUACUUUUUUGGGACUCCAGCGGGGUUUCACUCUGAAAUUAUACCAGAAGGAAAUCCUUUUAUUAUUCCGCCAGUAGAAAUUCAUUUUGAACUAUAGAUACAUGUGAGAAAUUCAACCGGAUAUUGUCCCAGGAAUUCUCACAAAAGUUUGCAGGAAAUUGAAUAGGAGAUUACUCCAGAAAUUCCCACCGACGAUUGCGGCAGGAAGUCCCUUCAAAGAAUGCUCCAGGAAACCCCACUCAGGUCUAAUCGAGACGUCGGGUUUAAUUUGCAGCCAAAGUGGUGCGUGUUCGGAAGAAAAGGCAAAAUCUGAUGAUCAGCUGGAAAAGUGCCCCGACAGUCGAUAUUCGCUCAUUGCCGCCAGCUGCAGAAAGCUAGCAAGGUGUAGAAACCGGUUGUUCCCGACAACACCAUUAUCGGAGAAAGCGUUGAGAAGCGCUGUGAAAAAGUUUGCCGAUGAAAAAGGAGGAGGAAUGUAGUUCGACCGGCAUUCGCACCGAAGAUUGCUCCCGGAUAUUUUAAUCAAUUCCCAAAAAGGAUUGCUCCAGGAAUUUUCACCGAUUGAUCCAAGAAGUCCCACCGGAGAUUGCAGCAGGAAGUCCCCCGAGGAUUACUCUCCACGAAACCCCAUUGUGGAUUGCUCCGGGAAUUGCUCAAGAAGUCCCACCGAGGAUUGCUCCUAGUGGUCCCACCGGGGAUUUCUCCAGAAAUUUCCACCGAAGAUUGCUCCAGAUAUUCACAUCGAGGACUGUUUCAUAAAUUCCCACGGGGACUGUUCCAGGAAACACCACUGCGGAUUCCUCCAUGAGUUCCAUUUGGGAACUGCACCAGGAAAUCCCACCGGGGAUUACUUCAGGAAUGCCCACCGAAGAUUCCUCUAGGAGUUCUCUUUGGGUAUUCCUCCGCGAGUUCUCUUUGGGAAUUCCUUCGGGAGUUCUCUUCGAGAAUUUCUUCAGGAGUUCCCAUUAAAGAUUCCUCCUGGAGUUUCCUUUGGAGAUUUCUCAAAACGUUCCUUUCCGGGAAUCCACCAGAAAUUUCUUCCGGGAAUCCACCAGGAGUUCCCUUUGGAUGGGAAUUCUUCCAGGAGCUUCCUUUGGUGAUUUUACCAGGAAUAUUCCAGAAAUUCGAUCUGGGGAUUGCUUCAGGAAUUCGAUCUGAGGAUUCCUCCUGAAAUCCGGUUUACUCAAGGAACCUAUGAACUCACGGAAGAAAAACUUGGAGAAUUCUCGGAAGGAACUCCUGGUGGAGUCCCAAAAGAAAUUUCUGGUUGAUCCCCGGAAGGAAUUCCUGGAGUAAUUCCAGAGGGACUCGUGAAGAAAUCGAAAAUUUUCACUGUACAAGAAUACCAUUGCCCUUCCGUGAAUCGCAUAUAUGUCCCAUUUGCAUAGGAAAUCCAGCAAAGAUGGGACUGAUAUGCGAUUCACGGCAGUGCCUUUCUAUUAACCACCAGCAUUUUCCUCUGGGAAACUACCCAGUAGUUCCGAGAAGCACUACCACUACCCAAUAAACAAGAAAUCUUCCCAAAAUUCAUUUUGGAAAAUAUUCCUUGCCAGAAAUUGCUUCUGAGGAAUUCUCUAGCACCCGACAAAUGGUUUGCAAUUUCUUCCGCCACCGAUUCCUUCCGGGAGAUCCCACAAAGUCUAUCACGGAAUCUUUCAUCGAUUCUUUCUAAGGAAUCAAUUCCUACUGGGGAUUUCUCCUGCAAUCUCUUCCGGGUGAUCUUAUUGCGCAAACCGUUAAGAGAAAUUCUCUAGAAAUUGGAAGAAUUCUUCACCGUUUCUUACGAGUAGCUUCUGGAGGAAUCCCAAGAAGGAACUCCAAGAGCUUCCGAAGGAAUCCCCAUAAAAAAAACUACACAAUUUACUUUUUCGAAACCUCCAGCAGUUUUUUUCCUUGGAAUUUUUCACCACUUCCAUCCCUGAAUCCUACUGUGAUUUUUUUUUCAGCAAAUCUCUUCCGGGAAUCUUCAAGCAAUUCAUCAAUCCAGAUACUUCACCUUACACUAGAGCAUUACGUAAUUUGUAUACGGCGCCGAAUGAUUAUACAUAAUUUAUUAAAUCCAACUGGCUUGAAAUUGUUCCUUGGAAUGUAGACUCUACUGAGCUAGAAAAGUCUCUGUAUUUAUCGAGCAUUUCUGAUAAAUAUGCCGAAACAUAAUUUAAUAAGUUCUGGUUCUAUACAUACUCAUCUGGAAUAACCAUUUGGUAUAUUAAAAUGAUAUAAAAGUGAUGUGUUUCACUGAAGAAUAGUACUCUACAAAAAUUAAAAUAAAUCUUCAUUUUAAUACUUUUAUAUUUAGUGAUCUUAUACACGGUUAUACAUAUACAUAAGAUUAGGUAAGAUUAUAUUUUUUAGGCUAGAUUCGCAUAACCUAUCAGUAACUGAU